UGGCGGCCUUGGAAACAGAGCUUAAG
rnacentral:piRNA from 1 species